rnacentral:rRNA from 1 species
UCACUUUCAACAAUGGAUCUCUUGGCUCUCGCAUCGAUGAAGAACGCAGCGAAAUGCGAUAAGUAAUAUGAAUUGCAGAAUUCCGUGAAUCGUCAAAUUUUUGAACGCAAAUUGCACUUCUUGGUAUUCCGAGGAGUACACAUGCUUGAGGGUCAGUG